UCUUCCUCAUAAUAUUUUCCCACCCAAAAUUAAAAGCCCUAGCCUCCUCACCUCCUCCUUCGCCGCUACCGUCCACCAUCCUACCUCCUCUUUUGUCGUUGUCGUCUGCCACCCUACCUCCUCCUUCGCCGCUGCCAUCCACCACCCUACCUCCUCAUUCGCGCCGCCGUGAGGACUCUCUCUCUCUCUAAUUAUACAUUUAAUGUCUGUCAGCUUCCCGCUGCCGCCGCCUGCCUCGCCGCCGCGGUUACUGUUGGCCUCUGUUUUACGAGGUUAAUUCCAAAGCUUCUCUGCUUCGAGGAAAUCUAAUUGCUCUUACGAAGAAGUAUAUCCUGAAUUUGAUUGCUUCAGCAGGUUCGCUGCUCUGAAAUAAUUAUGAAAAAGUUGGAUAUAAAUUGUGAUCCAACAGAUUUGAUGCAGUGAACAGGAAGCAGGCCCUUCUUCAUUGAGAAAAAAUUCAGUUUCCCAGAGCCAUUUACAGUGUACAAAGGGAAGUGUCAGUAAGGAGCAUGCAGUCAUGGUUUUAAAGCUAUAAAAGGACAUGCAAAAUGUCAGGUUAUGAAGUCUUGUUCACAGAAUAGUCUUCAGUUUAGAAGAUUAUGCGUUGAUGAGAACACACGUAAGAUUGUAGAGUAUUUUAGUAUGUGGAGUGCAAGAAAGAUUUGCAGCCUUCAUCAAUUUCAGAUAUGUUACAUUUGUGAACAAAUGAAGCUGUUGCGAAGAUGGAAUUAACCAAGUAUUCUAAUGUUGACGGGAUAGCCCGUGAUAAAGAGCUCGAAGGAAUAUCAAAAGUGCUAGAUAAAUUGUGUAGUUAUCUAAGACUUUUUUAGUAGUUCUCAUUUUAAUAGUGUAUUUUGAUUUUAUUGAAAUAUUAAGUUAAUUUUUAUAUGAAAGUAUUCUUAUGUUUU